rnacentral:rRNA from 1 species
UACGAAGGGUGCAAGCGUUACUCGGAAUUACUGGGCGUAAAGCGUGCGUAGGUGGUUUGUUAAGUCUGUUGUGAAAGCCCCGGGCUCAACCUGGGAAUGGCAAUGGAUACUGGCAGGCUAGAGUGCGGUAGAGGGUAGUGGAAUUCCCGGUGUAGCGGUGAAAUGCGUAGAGAUCGGGAGGAACACCAGUGGCGAAGGCGGCUUUCUGGACGAUAACUGACGCUGAGACGCGAAAGCGUGGGGAGGCAAACAGG